AAGAUUAAGCCAUGCAUGUCUAAGUAUAAGCACUUUAUACUGUGAAACUGCGAAUGGCUCAUUAAAUCAGUUAUCGUUUAUUUGAUAGUACCUUACUACAUGGAUACCUGUGGUAAUUCUAGAGCUAAUACAUGCUAAAAACCCCGACUUCGGAAGGGGUGUAUUUAUUAGAUAAAAAACCAAUGCCCUUCGGGGCUCCUUGGUGAUUCAUAAUAACUUAACGAAUCGCAUGGCCUUGCGCCGGCGAUGGUUCAUUCAAAUUUCUGCCCUAUCAACUUUCGAUGGUAGGAUAGUGGCCUACCAUGGUGGCAACGGGUAACGGGGAAUUAGGGUUCGAUUCCGGAGAGGGAGCCUGAGAAACGGCUACCACAUCCAAGGAAGGCAGCAGGCGCGCAAAUUACCCAAUCCCGACACGGGGAGGUAGUGACAAUAAAUACUGAUACGGGGCUCUUUCGGGUCUCGUAAUUGGAAUGAGUACAAUCUAAAUCCCUUAACGAGGAACAAUUGGAGGGCAAGUCUGGUGCCAGCAGCCGCGGUAAUUCCAGCUCCAAUAGCGUAUAUUAAAGUUGUUGCAGUUAAAAAGCUCGUAGUUGAACCUUGGGUCUGGCUGGCCGGUCCGCCUCACCGCGAGUACUGGUCCGGCUGGACCUUUCCUUCUGGGGAAUCCCAUGGCCUUCACUGGCUGUGGGGGGAACCAGGACUUUUACUGUGAAAAAAUUAGAGUGUUCAAAGCAGGCCUUUGCUCGAAUACAUUAGCAUGGAAUAAUAGAAUAGGACGUGCGGUUCUAUUUUGUUGGUUUCUAGGACCGCCGUAAUGAUUAAUAGGGAUAGUCGGGGGCGUCAGUAUUCAGCUGUCAGAGGUGAAAUUCUUGGAUUUGCUGAAGACUAACUACUGCGAAAGCAUUCGCCAAGGAUGUUUUCAUUAAUCAGGGAACGAAAGUUAGGGGAUCGAAGACGAUCAGAUACCGUCGUAGUCUUAACCAUAAACUAUGCCGACUAGGGAUCGGGCGGUGUUUCUAUGAUGACCCGCUCGGCACCUUACGAGAAAUCAAAGUUUUUGGGUUCUGGGGGGAGUAUGGUCGCAAGGCUGAAA
rnacentral:rRNA from 1 species